UGAAUACGAGAUGCUACGGCGUCGAAGCAGUCUAUGUCAUACUUCCAAGAAAAGCUUGCACUGUCAUAAACAAAUAAUGCCUGUACCAUAACCGACACAGGUGGGUAGGUAGAGUAUACUAAGGGGCGCGAGAUAACUCUCUCUAAGGAACUCGGCAAAAUGACUCCGUAACUUCGGGAGAAGGAGUGCCUUAUUUUAUAAGGUUGCAAUAACAAGAUCCAAGCAACUGUUUACCAAAAACACAGGUCUCCGCUAAGUCGUAAGACGAUGUAUGGGGGCUGACGCCUGCCCAGUGCCAGAAGGUUAAAGAAGUUGGUUAGCAUCCGCGAAGCUGAUAACUGAAGCCCUGGUGAACGGCGGCCGUAACAAUAACGGUCCUAAGGUAGCGAAAUUCCUUGUCGGGUAAGUUCCGACCCGCACGAAAGGCGUAAUGAUUUGGAUACUGUCUCAGAGAGGGGCUCGGUGAAAUAGACUUGUCUGUGAAGAUGCGGACUACCUGCACCAGGACAGAAAGACCCUAUGAAGCUUUACUGUAACUUGAAAUUGAAAUUGGACUUUACUUGCGCAGUAUAGGUGGGAGGCGUUGAGAAUAUUCUUGCGGGAAUGUUGGAGCCAUCAGUGAGAUACCACUCUUGUAAUGUUAGAUUUCUAACUUUGUAUCAUUAUCUGGUCAAAGGACAGUUUCAGGCGGGCAGUUUGACUGGGGCGGUCGCCUCCCAAACGGUAACGGAGGCGCACAAAGGUUUCCUCUGAACGGGUAGAAAUCGUAUCUAGAGUGUAAAGGCAUAAGGAAGCUUGACUGUGAGACCUACAAGUCGAGCAGGGACGAAAGUCGGUCUUAGUGAUCUGACGGUGCUGAGUGGAAAGGCCGUCACUCAACGGAUAAAAGUUACUCUAAGGAUAACAGGCUGAUCUCCCCCAAGAGUUCACAUCGACGGGGAGGUUUGGCACCUCGAUGUCGGCUCAUCGCAUCCUGGGGCGGUAGUACGUCCCAAGGGUUGGGCUGUUCGCCCAUGAAAGCGGUACGCGAGCUGGGUUCAGAACGUCGUGAGACAGUUCGGUCCAUAUCCGAUGUAGGCGUUAGAAUAUUGAGAGGAGCCUUCUUUAGUACGAGAGGACCGAGAAGGACAUACCUCUGGUGUACCAGUUAUCGUGCCAACGGUAAACGCUGGGUAGCUAUGUAUGGAGUGGAUAACCGCUGAAAGCAUCUAAGUGGGAAGCCCACCUCAAGAUAAGUAUUCUC
rnacentral:rRNA from 1 species